AGAGAAUUGCUAAACCUGGAGGGGCGACGGUUGCAGUGAGCUGAGAUCGUGCCACUGCACUCCAGCCUGGGCGACAGAG
rnacentral:snRNA from 1 species